ACUCAAAGGAAUUGACGGGGGCCCGCACAAGCGGCGGAGCAUGUGGCUUAAUUCGAUGCAACGCGAAGAACCUUACCUGGGUUGAACUACGCAGGAAAAGCCGCAGAGAUGCGGUGUCCGUAAGGGCCUGCGAUAGGUGGUGCAUGGCUGUCGUCAGCUCGUGUCGUGAGAUGUUGGGUUAAGUCCCGCAACGAGCGCAACCCUUGUCCUAUGUUGCCAGCGGGUAAUGCCGGGGACUCGUAGGAGACUGCCGGGGUCAACUCGGAGGAAGGUGGGGAUGACGUCAAGUCAUCAUGCCCCUUAUGUCCAGGGCUGCACACAUGCUACAAUGGCCGGUACAAAGGGCUGCUAUCCCGCGAGGGUGAGCGAAUCCCAUAAAGCCGGUCUCAGUUCGGAUCGGAGUCGCUAGUAAUCCCGGAUCAGCAACGCCGGGGUGAAUACGUUCCCGGGCCUUGUACACACCGCCCGU
rnacentral:rRNA from 1 species